rnacentral:rRNA from 2 species
GGGGAGUACGGCCGCAAGGCUGAAACUCAAAGGAAUUGACGGGGGCCCGCACAAGCGGUGGAGCAUGUGGUUUAAUUCGAAGCAACGCGAAGAACCUUACCAGGUCUUGACAUCCUCUGACACUCCUAGAGAUAGGAAUUUCCCCUUCGGGGGACAGAGUGACAGGUGGUGCAUGGUUGUCGUCAGCUCGUGUCGUGAGAUGUUGGGUUAAGUCCCGCAACGAGCGCAACCCUUGAUCUUAGUUGCCAGCAUUCAGUUGGGCACUCUAAGGUGACUGCCGGUGACAAACCGGAGGAAGGUGGGGAUGACGUCAAAUCAUCAUGCCCCUUAUGACCUGGGCUACACACGUGCUACAAUGGAUGGUACAAAGGGCUGCAAAACCGCAAGGUCGAGCCAAUCCCAUAAAACCAUUCUCAGUUCGGAUUGCAGGCUGCAACUCGCCUGCAUGAAGCCGGAAUCGCUAGUAAUCGCGGAUCAGCAUGCCGCGGUG